AUCCCGCCCCUAGGUGUGUGUU
rnacentral:miRNA from 1 species